GUUUGUCUGUCUGGAUGUGUCUGGACGUAUAUUUGCAUGCAUGUGUCUGUAUAUAUGUUUGUCUGUAUGUGUCUGUUUGUCUGUCUAUAUAUGUUUGCUUGCUUGUCUUCUUGUCUGUCAGUCAUUCUUCAUUCAAAGGAUUGGCAAAGGUUCAACGGUUGAAAAUUGUUGUGUUAAAUUGUGAUUGUUAUAAAUGGGAAUUAUGAUUAUCUUUUUCAGGAGAGGAAGCGUUGAACGAAUAUCUCCGAACCAAAGUGGUGACAGUUGAGUAUUAAAAUAAUGAAACACGAUGCUCUAAGCAAAACUUAAUAAAAUAUAAUAUAAUCUUAAUGGUUUUAGUAUAUGAAACGAUUCAGAGAUGUAUCUAAGAUACGAAUAAUAUGCGUAAGUUGAUAUUUUAGGGUCACAUAUAUAUAUAUCAUUUAUUCAUACUAUAAGAUAUGACUGUAACAUCUGUGUGAUUGCAUUUGUUUUAUCGAGGGCAUUUUAGGGAACACUUGGAAUGUGG